GUUACAACAGAGUUUCUCCGUUUACACGACAUUCCGGCAGACAUAGCGAGGAGUCCCGGCUCCCCAUGGAUCAUCACCCCCACGGGCAGGCGACGGAAACAGGAGAGGAAGCAAAAGCGAGGCUGCAGGGCCGGCGCGCUAACGAGGCUACGGAGGCAGCCUGUUAAACCACCGCUUCCUAGUGCUUUCCUCACCAACACCAGAUCCCUAGUCAACAAAAUCGACGAACUGAGGCUACAGGUGGCGACCAACAACAUCAUCAAGAACAGCUGCAUUCUGCUUAUCACAGAAUCCUGGCUCCACUCGUCGAUUAUGGACUCCGCUAUCGAGCUAACAGGCUACACGGUACAGCACAGACACUGUUACAGUUGAGAAACAUAUCUAUCCCAACCGGAAACCCUGGCUGACCAGUGAGGUCCAGAAGCUGCUGAAGGAGAGAAACACAGCCUUUAGGUCCGGCGAUGCGGCUCUCAACAGCUCAGCCCGCACCAACCUGAAGAGGGGCAUCCGAGAGGCCAAGUUGGACUAUAAGAGGAAGAUUGAGGAUCACCUGCAGAGCAACAACAGCAGGCAGGUGUGGUUGGGCGUCCAGCACAUCACUAACUACAGGACCAACCUGGGUCCUGUAGUCGGUGACGCAUCACUGGCAGAGGAGCUUAACCACUACUUCGCCCGGUUUGAGGUGGAAACGUCAGAGGCCUCCGGACCUCACCCAGGAAGCGACAACUCCACCUUACGGGUGGAGGAGCAUGAGGUGAGGUGAACACUGCGGUCCGUCCUUUCCCACGGAAAGCAGCCGGACCCGAUGGCAUCUCAGGGCAUGUACUGAAGGACUUUGCUGAUCAGCUGGCCCGGGUCCUCACCAGGAUUUUUAACCAGUCCUUGUACCAGUCCACCCUCCCGUCCUGUCUUAAAUCAUCCAUCAUAGUCCCUCUCCCAAAAAAACAGACUAUUGACAGCGUCAAUGACUACAGGCCAGUAGCAUUGACUCCCGUGGUAAUGAAGUGCUUCGAGAAGCUCAUCAGGAACCACAUCAUGACUUUCAUCCCCCCCUCGUUGGACACACACCAGUUUGCCUACAGAGCUAACAGGUCUACAGAGGACGCCGUGAUCACUGCUCUUCAUGCUGCCCUGUCCCACCUAGAACAUCAGGGGAGCUAUGCACGAAUGCUCUUUAUAGACUUUAUCUCUGCCUUCAACACCAUCCUCCCCCACAGACUGGUGACCAAGCUGUCGGACAUUGGACUACCACACUCCACCUGCCUCUGGAUUAAGGACUUUCUGACAGAGCGCAUUCAGAGGGUCAGAGUGGGCCCCCACAGCCAUCAGCCUCAGCACUGGCUCACCACAGGGCUGUGUGCUGAGCCCCCUCCUUUACACACUCUACACCCACGACUGCACCCCGACCCACCACAGCAAUACCAUCGUUAAGUUCGCUGACGACACCACAGUAGUGGGGCUCAUCUCAGGGGAGGAUGAGUCCACCUACAGGGAGGAGGUGGAGCGACUGACAGCGUGGUGCCGUGACAACAACCUGCUCCUGACCACAACCAAGACCAAGACCAAGGAGCUGGUUGUUGACUUCAGGAGAAAGAGACACAACAUCCAGCCACUCCACAUCAACAGGGUUUGGAGUGUGGAGAGGGUCUCAGACUUCCGCUUCCUGGGACUGCACACUGCGGAGCUAGUAGGGAAAGCCCAGAAGAGACUCUACUUCCUGAGGGUUCUCAGGCAAAACAUCAUUGCAGAGAAACUUCUGGUGUCCUUCUACCGCAGCACUGUAGAGAGCGUCCUGAGCUACUGCCUCUGUGCAUGGUUUAACAGCUGCACAGUAGCACAGAGGAGAGAGCUCCAGAGGGUCAUACGCAUUGCCUAGCGGAUAAUCAGAGGCUGUCUCCUCUCACUGUAAGAUCUGCACAACUCCCACUGCCUCAAGAGUGCUGCUAGGAUCCUCCAAGACCCCUCUCACCCCGGACACGGACUGUUUGAACGUCUACCCUCAGGCAGACGUUUUGGAUGCAUAAGGUCACGCACAAACAGACUUAAAAACAGCUUCUACCCAUCAACCAUAUCUCUACUAAAUGCUAAAUAAUAACAUGUGCAAUCAUUUCAGUACCACUACAGUGCAAUAUAAUAAUGUGCAAUAUUCUCUUCAUUCAUUUGUCCAUUUCAUUCUCACAGCAUAGUAGGUCACAGUAUUGUAUUUUAUUUAUAUUUUAUUCUACAUUUUAUUUUUAUUUUUACAUUUCUCUUACCUUUUAUUUAUUUUUACUUUUUCUUACUUUUAUACGUGUUUUUCCAUACCGGCACUGAAUGUGGACACUUCGCAUUGGACAAUGACAAUAACGUUUUCUGAUUCUGAUUCUGACUCCAGAUGUCUCUGAGCUGCUUACACACCUUCUGUGCAUGUACUACAUGUUACAGCAGUAUUCCACUAGGGGGCACAUCACUUUAAAAACAGAGCGAUUCUAGAAGAGGUGAGUUUGUGGUUACAUUUUGAAAUAAUUACUGCAUGUGUGGCAACAUGUAGUUAGUUGUCCUGGUAACUGUCAGCUGUGCUGCAGUUCCAACCAAUCACGGUGUGAGACUGCCACAUAAAGGCGGGCGUAAAGCACCUGUCAGCCUUUUGCUUGCUGGAGGCUGGGUCGCGUCACUCCUGUGCUUCCUCCAUUUCCGCAUUUUGCUUCUGCUCUGUUUCUUGCCUUCUUUGCCUCAUUUAAAGAAAUCAUUUGGACUGAUCGCUGUGCCUCACUGGAACUGUGUGUUAGCGGGACUAAUUGUUUCGCUUGACUUUGAUUAGCCUUACCUCGGACACUCACCGCUCCACCAGGGCCGACUCGGAUUCUGAUCGCCUUGUCCGCUUAUUCGGCUGCCGAUAGUGUUCGUGCUUCUUCCCGUUGCUCCCAGGGCGAAGCGGUGGCUCGGAACAAUUGCUUAAUCAUCUUUUGGAAAGACUUCGCUCUCGAUUGGAACAUAUUCUGGGACGCAUGCCUCUGGACCUGGACUUCUUAGAUUUCACUUGCACACAAGAACUUGUUUUUUUAAAUGCUGAAUCCAGUCAAGUAACUGUUUGUCCAGCUAUUUUAGAUGUGCUACGCAGCUACACAGUGUUAUCAAUUUGGAAAAAGACAAAAGGGAGCAACACAUUGCAGUUGUGCAGUUUGAGCAAGGAGCAGCAUCUCCAGACUACCUUAGCAAACGUCUGGAACUUAAUCUUAAUCUGUUCCAUGUAUAACUAAACUUUUGGGGGUGUCCAGGCGAACAGUAUACCAGCGCAUGGCUGAGUCUGAUCUCACAGUAAGGGCAUUCUACAGCACUAUGACAGAUGAAGAGUUAGAUCAGUGUGUGAGAGAUUAAAUCCAGGCAGCCUAACUCUGGAUAUGGAAUGAUGAAAGCCCUCCUGCAAGCCAAAGGACUGCUGGUGCAGUAUGACCGUGUCAGAGCCUCCAUGCACCGUGUUGACACCACGGGUGUCAUAAACAGAAUGGUCCAUGUAGGAUGUAUUGCACGACGGACCUACUCAGUUCCAGGACCCCAGUCUUUGAUGCACAUAGAAACAAACCACAAGUUGAUUCGCUACAACAUUCUUGUUUUUGGUGGUGUUGAUGGUUUUUCCCGCCUGAAAGGUUAGCACAAUUGUUUUGACUAAGUGUACAUAUUUAUACAAUUAUUAAAUGAAAUGGAAUGAAAUGGAAUGAAAUUCAAUUCAAUUCAAUUCAAUUCAAUUCAAUUCAAUUCAAUUUUAUUUGUAUAGUGCCAAAUCACAACAUACAUGAUCUCAGGUCUGUACAUAGACAACAUCAAGGAGAGCAGAGAAACCCAACAGUUCACACAAUGAGCAAACACUAGGCAUCAGUGGAGACAAGAAGAACAGUCAAUGAUAUCGACUUUUAAUUAUAGCAGAAUAAUAAUGAUUUGUAUGAUAGCAAUAGCCUCGAAACUGGAUCUGGAUCCUGCAACCUGCAAGAUGAGGAUACAGAGAGAGAUAGAGGGAAGGAAGGAAAGACAAAAACUAGGGAGAGAAAGAGACAAGGUUAAUGACAUAUUUAAGUCAUAUUCAUACCCCUGAGUGUGAGAGAGUGAAUGUGACAGAGUGAGUGUGAGUGCACCACAGGAAAAUCCCCCAACAGUUUAGGUCUAUAGCAGCAUAACUAACUAUAAGCUUUAUCAAAAAGGAAAGUUUUAAGUCCAACUUUAAAUACAGAGAGAGGCUUUCUAAUUUUCAUAAUGUUCCGCAGGUGGAAGAAGGCUGUUCUGGAAAUUAGUUUUAUGUGUGAAUCAAAUGACAUUUCCUGGUCAAAAAUAACUCCAAGGUUCCUCACAGUAGAACAGGAAGCCAUGGUGAUGUCAUCUAAAGUGACAAUGUGAUCAGAAAGUUUUUCUCUGAGGUGUUUAGGGCCGAGUAUAAAAGUUUAAAAGUCAGUUUUUUCUGAGUUUAAAAGUAGAACGUUACAGGUCAUCCAGGACUUAAUGUUUCUGAGACAUUCCUGGAGUUGAACAACCUGAUUUAUUUCAUCCGGCCUCAUUGAUAAAUAUAGCUGUGUGUCAUCUGCAUAACAAUGAAAGUGUAUGUUGUGCUUCCUAAUAAUGUUCCCUAGAGGAAGCAUAUAUAAGGUAACAAGUAUAGGCCCAUGCACUGAGCCUUGUGGAACUCCACAAUUAACUUUUGUUUGUAGUGAGACUUUAUUAUUAACAUGAACAAACUGGAAUCUAUCAGAUAAGUAUGAUUUAAACCAGCAGAGGGCAGCACCUGUGAUCCCAAGAGUCUGCUCCAAUCUCUGCAGUAGAAUAUUAUGAUCAAUGGUGUCAAAUGCAGCACUAAGAUCUAACAGGACAAGUAAAGAAACCAGACCAUUAUCUGAGUUACUAACUUUAACUAGUGCUGUUUAACUAGUGCUAUGGUUUAAUCUAAAACCUGACUGAAAAUCUUCAAACAGGCCAUUUAUGUGCAAAUAUUCACAUAAUUAAUUAGCAACUGCCUUUUCUAAGAUUUUAGAAACAAAGGGAAGAUUAGAUAGGUCAGUAAUUAGCUAAAAUAUCUGGGUCAAGGGUCGCUUUUUUGAGAAGGGGUUUAAUAACUGCUAUUUUAAACAUUUGGGGCACAUAUCCAGUUAAUAAGGAUAGAUUAGAGUCAAUAUUGAGCUGUUAAUUAAAGGAAACACAUCUUUAAACAGUUAAGUGGGGAUAGGAUCUAACUGACAGGUGAUGGUUUGGAUGAAACUAAUGAUGUUAACUCAGGGAGAUCUAUAGGGGAGAAACUGUCUAACUGUGCACCUGGUGCUUCUAAAGCUCUUGUGCUAAAAGAUGAGUCAGUCCCAAUAUGAGGGAGGAGAUGAUCCAUUUUUUCUCUAAUUGAUGUUAUUUUAUUCACAAAACAGUUCAUAAAGUCAUCACUGCUCAGUGUUAAAGGAAUAGAUGGUUCAGUGGAGCUGUGGCUCUGUGUCAGACUGGCUACAGUGCUGAAAAGAAAUCUAUGAUUAUUCUUAUUUUCUUCAAUUAAGGAAGAAGAAUAGGCAACUCUAGCUUUGUGUAGGGCUUUUUUGUAAGCUACAGAACCAUCUUUCCAGGCUAUGUAAAAUUCCUCUAGAUUACUGGAACACCAUUUUCUUUCUAAUCUACGUAACGCCUGUUUAAGAGCGCAAGUAUCAGAGUUAACCAUGGUGCACGUCUCAUCUGAUUCACCACUUUCUUUUUCAGAGGGGCAACGUAAUCUAAUGUAGUACGCAGUGAGGCCGCUGUACUAUCAACAAGGUUAUCUAUGAGGGCGGGAGUACAAUCACAAAAGGUACCUUCAGAUGUACUGAUAUAUGGCACCGAGUUAAAUAAAGGUUGCACUGUCUCUUUGAAUAUAUUAAUAUUUUUAUUUUUUAUUUAUGUUAUUGUAGUUCAUUAUUGUACAAUUAAAUGUGAGUAAAUAAUGAUCAGUAAGGAGAGGGUUUUGAGGAACUAUGUUUGUUAUCAAUAUCAAUACCAUAGGUUAAAACAAGAUCGAGGGUGUGACUAAGGCAAUGAGUUGGUUUAUUAACGUGUUGAAUAAAACCAAUUGAUUCCAACGAAUCAGCGAGUUAAAUGCGCAGCUAAGACUAUCACGGUCAACAUCUACAUGGAUGUUGAAAUCCCCUACAAUUAUGAUUUUAUCUGUCUUAAGUACUAACUCAGAUAAGAACUCAGAGAACUCUGAUAGGAACUCUGAAUAAGGUGCAGGUGGACGAUAAACUGUGACUAUCAUAAUUGGUUUCUGGGAUUUCCAACUAGGAUGAGAAAGGUUAAGAAUAAGGCUUUCAAACGAUGAAUAUCCUGGUUUGGGUUUGGGAUUGAUUAAUAAUCUAGUAUUAAAAAUGGCUGCUACACCUCCUUCUAGGAAUAUGGGUAUUAACAUGAGUGGGUGGAGUUGACUCAUUUAGACUAACGUAAUCUUCUUCAUGUAACCAAGUUUCAGUUACACAGAAUAAAUCAAUACAACCUGACUGAGGGAUACCUGACUGAGGGAUAAAUCAUACAGUCAGUCCCCGGUUCCUCUCACACACACACAUACAUGUCUGUAAAUGUAAAAUGAAAAGAAAGUGCAAGUUAGCUAACAACGUGUCAUUUUGUAAACAAAAAUCAAAGAAAACACCGUCAACUAUUUAUGAAAAAGGACGUGCUCGACCGUUCGGGAGCUAUAUGCUUACCAAAAUUACAACUUAAACCGCCCCUUAAUAUUAAAAUGUACGUAAUUAAUAUGAAAAAAUGGCAGAGCUCAUAGUUCACGCACCUACCAGGGAGACAGCGAGGUCCGACUGCUGUUACCCCCCCGGGGUGCACUACCCUAAUUCACAGGGGUGUUGCAUUUAAUUACCAUAGGACAAAUAAGUUCUAUGGUAAGUUAAGUUCUAAGUUGUUGUGAGAUGACUUUUCUCUUUUCAUGGCAAGUGGAAUCACACUACAUCUUAACUCCGUUACACUUAUAUUUAAUAGUCCACAUUUAAAAGUGGUAUUAUUUGACUCUAUUUUAUUGUCAGUAUUAAUCUUUAUUAGAAGAGGAGUUAAACAUUCUAACUCCUCUAUAUAGUCAAAAUAUAGACAUUUCUGGCCAAAGUAACAAUAAUAAUGGCAAGGUCAUCAAUUCAUAGUCAAAGUCAAGAGUAGACCAUCCUUUAUGAAUGCUAAUUUUCCAGCACUAUAACAGUGUAUGUUCCUUAACUUUCCUAAGUCACUAAUAGGCCUGAACAGCACCUAUCAUCUGUAACCAUUGCAGAUGUUGCAGACAUUUUUGUGCAGACAGGACAUUCCUGCAUAUCUGCUGCUGAAAUGUUGAGAAGUUACAAGUAAGAACAGUGAUUUUCUGUUGUUUAAUAUUAUACAAUAUGCUCACAAAAACUGAAAAAUAAGAAUUCUUACAUUUUCUCUCUUCAAGCUCACCGUUAUCCACAUUCGCCGGGUUAUCGUCAUUGCCAGCAUCCGUGACAUUACAAGACUUGAUGUGUUCUGUUAGAAGAGAAAGGGGAACAUCACCAUUACUAUUGUGCUAUAUAUAAAAAUCGAUAUCAAUAAAAUUUUUAUCAACACUCUCUGCUGCUGCUUUAUAAAUUACAUUGUAUUGCUAUAAACAUGUCAUCAUUGGCUGUAUAAACUUGUAACUUGAUACAGUUGUGUAUCUGCCCCUGGUCUCUCUCUCUCUUCUGUCUCUACCUCAUCUCCCUCUUGUCCUUUCUCUCCCCCCUUUCUGUCCCCCACCUCUCCUCUGUCCCCCAUUUUCUUUCACCCCAACCGGUCGAGGCAGAUGACUGCACAUCUCUGAGCCUGGUUCUGUCAGAGAUUUCUUCUGGUAGUUUUUUCUCUCCACUGAUGCCUAGUGUUUGCUCAUUGUGUGAACUGUUGGGGUUCUCUGCUCUCCUUGAUGUUGUCUAUGUACAGUGCCUUGAGAUAAUGUAUGUUAUGA